rnacentral:lncRNA from 1 species
UGGAUGGUAUGAUCAUCGCAAAAGAGGACAACCGAGUUGGAGCUUUAAAAUUGGCUGGAGAGGAGGAGGAAGGAAAAAAUGAACAUAAAAAAUGACAUCUUUGUAUAUCUGAACAUGAUCUUGUAGUCAUAUAAAUGUCAUGAAAUGUUUAAGACUGCAAGUUUUGAAGGGUUUUAAAAAGGUUUGGUUGUUUGGUUCGCUGACAAAACAAGCCUAAGGGCAAUUUUUGGGACUGAACUCUAGUUUCUUUACAUUCGAAUUUUAAACCAUUAUCUGGGCUAUUUCUGUUACAAUUGCUAUAUUUGGUUGGAAAACUUGGAAUGACCAUGACUUCACUACUGAAUUCUUUAUGUUUUUCUCUUUUCAUCCUAUAUAUGUGAAUUAACUCUAGCUUUAAAGAUUUGGUGUUAAAGACAAGUGCAACUGUUAUUGUGAUGAUGGAAAAAGCCUUACUGAAGAUCGAUAAAAGAGCAAUUUUUUUCGAGAGGCUUCAUCCUACAUUAACUAGUGA